UACGGGGGGAGCAAGCGUUGUUCGGAUUUACUGGGCGUAAAGGGCGCGUAGGCGGCGUGACAAGUCACUUGUGAAAUCUCCGGGCUUAACUCGGAACGGUCAAGUGAUACUGUCGUGCUAGAGUACAGAAGGGGCAACUGGAAUUCUCGGUGUAGCGGUGAAAUGCGUAGAUAUCGAGAGGAACACCUGCGGCGAAGGCGGGUUGCUGGGCUGACACUGACGCUGAAGUGCGAAGCUAGGGGAGCGAACGGG
rnacentral:rRNA from 1 species